rnacentral:snoRNA from 1 species
AUCAGCCACUUCCCUUCCCCAUCAGACCUACACGUUGGUGUGAGUGGUUCUAAACGGAGGAAAAGGAGAGACACACGAGCUGGUUUCCAACAAUG